rnacentral:misc_RNA from 1 species
UUGUAGUAUUGUUGUGAGUCAAGUCCUUUCAUACAUGGAAGCUCUUUGUCCUUUUUCGAAAUUUGAAGUUUUACAUAAACGACGCCUGGCGUUUUGAAGCAGCAAAUGAAAGUUUGAAACCCGCCACGCCUCAGUAGGCAGAUGUGAGUUGUGCCACGCCACGUUGAGUUUGUUUCUUCCGUUGUCAGGGUGCUGUGGUGUGGGUCAAGGAUUGCAUCUAAGUUGUGUCGUUGAAGGAGUGCACUUGAAUCCAGCCCCAAUAUUGCAGCAGACUGGCUUUGUUAUUUUCUCCGUUAUAUCAAGAAGGAUGCAUGCGUGCCGUGUGGUUCACGUGACAUGUGGUGACCAAACCACCACCGCCAGCCGCCAGGUAGCCCCGGGACAGGCCCAUUGGGCCAUCCAUCAUGCUGCCAUCCUUGGCCCAGGAGCUAAGAACAGUCUUCAUUGAUGGUGCAAGGAAAGUGUAAAACGUCGACGAACGAAAAAUCCUGUCUCCCUUCCUGGUGAACCUCUGGGCAAGACCGAUGCUGUUCAGCACUCCAUUCACCUCACACCAGGCUUGACUCCCACCUACGUCCCUGCUUACCGUAUCCCUCACAGUCGCAGGGCAAUGGUGGACGAUGCUGUCAGAGCCAUGCUUCAGGAUGACGUCAUUGAACCUGCGGCUUCGCCUUUCAACGCUCCGCUUUUCUUGUUUCCCAAGUCUGAUGGGGUGUGGACUACUUUGGACACUGCAAACUUCAAUAAGAUCCGCUGUGGUGUAGAACAGGAAAGCACCACUCAGAAAAAGAUGUCCCACGAGCCCAAGUACUUCGGCAGGCUGCCCAGUAUGGUCUGUGGUGCCAAAACUACAGGACUGGUGUUGGAACUCGUGCAAUCUUCCAUACUUAUCUGAUUGGCAAAUUUAUGAUGUCACCAAACUAUUGCCGUGAGAGAGAACCACUGCUGCUGCUGCCUUUCCAUGGGACAUUCCAUCCUCCCAUGCCCUGAGGAAGAUAGGAACAUUGUAGUGCCAACACUUACGGGGUUCCUCAUCUCCACAAGGUGAGGCACCCUGAGGACCUUCCUACUCUUGGCACCCGUGGACACAACCUGCCUUUCCUGCAGGUCAGGGAUUCAUACUUGAAACUCCUGCAUCUCCAAGAUCCUUUGAUGAACUUAGCCUGUGUCUCUGAGACCUUUGUAACAAAGACUUGAGAACAAGAGAACUACCACACUCAGCCAAAACUGUACGGAAAGCUGCCAUCUCUACACAAACUAGCUAGUGUUAGGUCACUCACCACCAACAGAGACAUGUUCAUUCACUAGGAAGGUUGACCUGAGAGAAACACUAAACUGAUUCUGUCUGUGAAUCUGUAGAGAUGAAUUUAAUUAUGCUGUGUGUCUGUAAAUGUCAGUUUAAACAAUCACUUUUAUUUAUCACAUAUUUAUUGUUUAUUGAACAUAUAUUGACCAUCAAACUUAAAAGGGAUAAUAAACCUAAGUGUGGUUUGGGUGAUACAAUAAUAUAGAUGAGAUCUGUUUUUGGGAAUCUCCCUUAUUAGAUGUGAUCUCAGCAAGAAUUGGCUCAUACCAUUAGAUGCAGAAUUAGAUAUAGUGUUGACUCAACACUAAUUACAUUUCCAUAAAUUAUGUACUCUAUCUCUCUUACGAGGAUUUGGUACACAAGUGCACUUUUGUUAUCUAAUCUUUACUCAUGUAAUGGUAUAAGUAUACUAAUAUUGAAAUAAAAUUACA